CAUGGCUUUAAAAUAUAUAAGAUAAUGUGGCAUUUUCUGCUGGUACUGUAUCUAUGUUUGGAUCUUCAUAUUUAUAAAUAGAGUUUUUCACUAAACCAGGAAUUUACAAGGGAAUUGCAAACUUUAGAUUAUGGCUACUGGAGUAAAAAAAAAAAAUCUACAGUUCAGCUAUUUUCCAGCUUAACUGUUUUGUAAAAAUAAAUCAAUUAUCUUGCGAGCUCUCCAUAAAAUUCUAGCG